AGAGGUGGCAAGCGUUGUUCGGAAUUAUUGGGCGUAAAGAGCACGUAGGUGGAUUUGUUAGUCAGAUGUGAAAGCCUUCUGUUCAACGGAAGAAUUGCAUCUGAAACUACAAACCUUGAGUAUAGGAGGGGAGAGUGGAACUUCUGGUGGAGCGGUGAAAUGCGUAGAUAUCAGAAGGAACGCCGGCGGCGAAAGCGACUCUCUGGCCUAUAACUGACACUGAGUGUGCGAAAGCUAGGGGGGAGCAAACGGGAUUAGAUACCCCGGUAGUCCUAGCCGUAAACGAUGGGCACUAAGUAGGGGGAACUACCGAUGUUCUCUCUGCCGUAGCAAACGCAUUAAGUGCCCCCGCCUGGGAGUACGGCCGCAAGGCUA
rnacentral:rRNA from 1 species